CCUACGGGAGGCUGCAGUGGGGAAUAUUGGACAAUGGGGGGAACCCUGAUCCAGCCAUGCCGCGUGUGUGAAGAAGGCCCUCGGGUUGUAAAGCACUUUCAGUGAGGAAGAACGCCUGGUGGUUAAUACCCAUCAGGAAAGACAUCACUCACAGAAGAAGCACCGGCUAACUCCGUGCCAGCAGCCGCGGUAAUACGGAGGGUGUGAGCGUUAAUCGGAAUUACUGGGCGUAAAGCGCGCGUAGGUGGCUUGAUAAGCCGGUUGUGAAAGCCCCGGGCUCAACCUGGGAACGGCAUCCGGAACUGUCAAGCUAGAGUGCAGGAGAGGAAGGUAGAAUUCCCGGUGUAGCGGUGAAAUGCGUAGAGAUCGGGAGGAAUACCAGUGGCGAAGGCGGCCUUCUGGACUGACACUGACACUGAGGUGCGAAAGCGUGGGUAGCAAACAGGAUUAGAUACCCGGGUAGUC
rnacentral:rRNA from 1 species